rnacentral:rRNA from 1 species
UACGAAGGGUGCAAACGUUGCUCGGAAUUAUUGGGCGUAAAGCGCACGUAGGCGGCGCAGUAAGUCCCAUGUGAAAGCCCACGGCUUAACCGUGGAAGUGCAUGGGAAACUACUGUGCUUGAGUACUUAAGAGGAUCGCGGAAUUCCCGGUGUAGAGGUGAAAUUCGUAGAUAUCAGGAGGAACACCGAUUGCGAAGGCAGCUCGCUGGGACGUUACUGACGCUGAGACGCGAAAGCGUGGGGAGCAAACAGG